rnacentral:lncRNA from 1 species
UUUCUAGUCGACUGUUGCGCGUGCGCGCGCUGUGACGUUCCCUACGCGGUCGGGCGUUGGGUUUCGCGGCGCUCGCCGCACUGGUUGUUCAGCACCUUCGGUCCGGUUGAGGUUGUCAAGUCGGACCAAACAGGUUGUUUCUCUGCAGUUUCCAUUACGAAAGAUGAGUAUUUAGUACUCCAUUUGUGCUGUUUUCCUUUUGUGGUAUCAUUCAGCCUUGUGGCUUCAAACAUUGUACUGAAGAUUCUCAGACUUAUUACUACAUGGCAGGGAGGUUUAAUAGACAUGGAUAAGAAGUCCACUCACAGAAAUCCUGAAGAUGCCAGGGCUGGCAAAUAUGAAGGUAAACACAAACGAAAGAAAAGAAGAAAGCAAAACCAAAACCAGCACCGAUCCCGACAUAGAUCAGUGACGUCUUUUUCUUCAGAUGAUCCUAUGUUUCCUUCUUCCUCAUCAUCGUCUUCAGGAAGCCAGACAGAUUCAAGUAUUGAAGAUGCUGCCAAGGGAAAAAUUAAGAAGAAGAGAAGAGAGAAAACAAAUAAAUGGGAAAAAAGAAAGGACAAAAUAUGAAACACCAAGAAAAAGAGAAGGAAAAAAAGGAGGAAACAACCACAUAUGUCACCUUUCCAAGAGGGACUGAAACUGGGCUGACCCUUUUGAUUUCCAAGCUCAGCGUUUUGGUGUAAGGCGGCCAAAGAAGGAUGCGGAGCCCAGCACUGUGAAGCCUACAAAAACAUUGAUGCGCUGGCUUGGGGAUUUGAAUUUGAACAUCUUUCACACUAAGUUCAGACUCAUGAAACCAAUCUUCAGAUGCUCUGUAAACCACAUAAUAAAGAGUUUGGAAAUUAUA